UACGUAGGGCGCAAGCGUUGUCCGGAAUCAUUGGGCGUAAAGAGCUCGUAGGCGGCCUGUCGCGUCCGCUGUGAAAUCCCGGGGCUUAACCCCGGGCGUGCAGUGGAUACGGGCUGGCUGGAGGCAGGCAGGGGAGAACGGAAUUCCCGGUGUAGCGGUGAAAUGCGCAGAUAUCGGAAAGAACACCAACGGCGAAAGCACUCUGCUGGGCCGACACUGACACUGAGAGACGAAAGCUAGGGGAGCGAAUGGG
rnacentral:rRNA from 1 species